CAGAAAGACACUUGUGAAUGAACCCAAACACUUCAGCCCAACAUACCAGAAAACACCAGACAAAAACAGGUUCAACAUAGUUUCUGAGCAUGCAGGCAUGGGCAAUGAGAUCCCUUCAGUUGUGGUUCUCUGCAGCCAGCCACUGUGACGUGCGGCACAGUAUCCUGUGGUGGCUCUAAAGAAUCAGCCUCCAUCCUGUGGUAAAUAGACAGUAGGGACUUACCAGUCUAUGCUGAAGUUCUGGUCACCUCAACUUGGGGAGAUGUGUCUGUGACAGAUAUGACAAUUUUCUGAAAUAUCCUGGACAAACCUUGCUGAAUGAAGUUAAACCUUAUUUAAUUAAGUUUAAGUAUCUUAGGAGUUUGUUGUAUGAAAAAUGCAAAGAUUUACGUAUUACUGUGGGAUUGUAUGUCUCUAGGGAGGAGACCUGACUGAUGAAAACCCUGGGAAGUGUUCUAAGCUUCAAAGGACUAUUUGAAGUAAUGUGAACAUUUAAAAGUUAAGUGGGUUUCCAGGAAAUAUCUAGGGGGAAGUGUAUGCAAAUGUAAUUCCUCCAGUUAUGCAAAAACUCAGGCUUUUGAAGCUUUAUCCUGAGGAAGGGACAUUUUGUCUGCUGAUCACCUGUUACUUGAGGAUAGAUCAAAGUCCCAAACCGUAUAAAGAAGUGACUCUCAGAUUCAUGGAUACGCUUGUUCCAGGCAAAGGUGGUUAUAAACUUGUACACCUCAGAAAAACCCAUGGGUGGGAGGGGGGUUUGAAGGACAGUUCACCUUCUAGGGCCCUUGUUGGAGCUGGGGUGAUCUCUAGUAAACUUAUCGGCAUGUAUGUAGGUUCUGUUACUGUUUCGAUAUGUUUUCUCUGUAAUGCUUUCAUUUUAAGAAUAAAAGUGCUU